rnacentral:rRNA from 1 species
AGCGAACGCUGGCGGCAGGCUUAACACAUGCAAGUCGAGCGGGCGUAGCAAUACGUCAGCGGCAGACGGGUGAGUAACGCGUGGGAACGUACCUUUUGGUUCGGAACAACACAGGGAAACUUGUGCUGAUACCGGAUAAGCCCUUACGGGGAAAGAUUUAUCGCCGAAAGAUCGGCCCGCGUCUGAUUAGCUAGUUGGUGAGGUAAUGGCUCACCAAGGCGACGAUCAGAGCUGGUCUGAGAGGAUGAUCAGCCACAUUGGGACUGAGACACGGCCCAAACUCCUACGGGAGGCAGCAGUGGGGAAUAUUGGACAAUGGGCGCAAGCCUGAUCCAGCCAUGCCGCGUGAGUGAUGAAGGCCCUAGGGUUGUAAAGCUCUUUUGUGCGGGAAGAUAAUGACGGUACCGCAAGAAUAACGCCCCGG